GCAAGAAUCCCUUGGCAUUCUGAAUACUUUAUCUGCCUUCUUAUAUGCUCACAAAUGGCUAUUGUAAACCACGUUUUCUCUUCACCAAAAAUACAAAACCAACAGAGAUGCAUGUUUCUCUGCUGAUGCUGGUGAUGCUGCAGGUCUAAGGAGGCUUUCUGGUUAUUGAGGGAGCUGCCCGUAUAUUUUUGUGUACAGGGGAGCUGCUUGCAAGGAAGGCUCACUAAUUAGAGGGAAAAUAUUUGAUCUCCAUAGGCUUUUGGUGAAAUAUCUGAGAAAGGCAGCAGAUGUUGCUGAAAUUAUUUUUCAUCUGUUUUCCCCUGUUUUCUUACCAUGUUUCAUCUGCUUUACCCUGUUUUCUUAUGUGGUGCAUCAAAUUAAAAUUCAAUAAACUGCUCAUGGCUGUUUACUGGGGAGUGCAAAAAAAUUGCUCUAGAUUAAAGCUGGUGCCUCAUCCAGUGCAGAGUAUGUGCACUCACCCCAGCAUCCCUUUGCCUUACUUCUGAAAGCCACAGAUUACCCAGAGCCUUCAGCAACGAGUUGUCAGACUACCCAAAAUGUGUUGUAGCGCAGCCAGCCCGUAUUUCUCCAUGGGGUCUGAUGUCAUCCUGGCAAGUACGGCAUCUAGAUGAUAUGGAUUUGUAAGGACCUGCCUUGAAUUACUCCUUUUCCCAGUAGUUCAGCUCUCUGAUAGCCAGAAAGCUUCUAAUCAGGCUCCUCAAUCCAAAAAGAAAACCAGCAGAGAUGUAGGACAGUCUUGAUGACCAUCCACAACGUCUUGUGGAGGAACCUGACUUCUUCUGAGUGGCUUCAGGUGAGGGAAUUUUGAAGACAAGAACCUGAAUCCAGGUGUGAUCUCUUCAGUUCUAAAAGUCUUGAGAGUCUGAAAGCUGCAUUUUGGAAGUUUUAGCCCUUGGAUGUGGUGUGUCCUACAUCAUGGGCAGCACCAUUCAGAGAGCAACCACAGACGGGUCUCUCUGGAGAACCAUUCCAAGGGUCCAUAGAGAAUCACUUACACAGAUUGGACAUCAAACGCUGUCUCAAAUCCAAAACCACUUGGUUUUGGUUGUAGAGGCAAAGCAAGCAUCUUUAUGAGUUUGCUUGUCUUAUUUCGACCCAAAAUCAUCUACAGGACACUGCAUUCAGGCCCACUGGACAGGUCAGUUAAUUAUGUUGAGUGGGUCAAUAGAUGGAUCAAUUUAUCAAAUGAUAAAUAGAGAUUCUGCUUUCAUCAGGGUAGUGAAUAUUAAUUGAUUUGACAGGCAGAAGCUUGGUAAAACAAGUUGAAGUUGCAUCAGGGCAUCACUGUAUUAAUUAGCCAUGUUGAAGCUGCUUUUAGCUGCUUCCGAAGUUUAAUCAAUAUGCUGCAUUUGAGUCCCAAAAGGCUUAUGGAAACAGCCUUUGAAAUCCUCUAAAUUGCUGCCUCUGUGAGGUUUUAGACUCUUUACUUAUUCUUGUUCUGCUGUUUUUCUUCCUUAUUUUUUUUCUCCCUCCUGCAAUCAAUAGUGACCCACAAGAAUUGGUAGGGGUGGGUUUUCUUAUUUGUAUCACAAAUUUGCAUUGGCUAGGAACAGAAAUGAAAUGAGAAAGAUCUUCUGUUUUAGUACAAUAAUAGUAAUAAUCCUGGACAUUAAUGAGCUGCCCUCUGUCUUCCAGUUUCUAUAUGCAGUAAAUUACCUCUAUAGACUUAAUCUGAUGUGAAUGAGCAAGGCACCAGUUAAAUCAUGUUUUCCUGAGCCCUCGCAUACUGCUCAGACUUUGAUUUAAUACAAAGUAAGGUUUGAGCUUGCUGAUAUGUUUUACUGAGCGGGAGGAAGGAGAAGGUGGAGCUGGAAAUGAGGCCAGAGAAUUAAACUAUGCAGAGAAGGGGAUGGAGACCCUGAGACUGCUGGGUGCAAGGGUGGUCGUCUAGGACUGCCCUGGUGGCAUCCACGCCACUGGCCAGCUUUGUGUGUGUAUGGGAACUGCUGAGUCCCAGCCUGAUUGAGCACCUGGGGAAAGCACCUGGGAAAGCACCUGGGAGCACAGGUGAAGGCAAUGCAUCUGUGUGACUGGAAGUGAUGGAACCUCUCUUCGACGUCAUUGAAGGGCUGACUGCUGCUGGGGAAGGAUCUCUCUUUGGAGAUCCCUCCUUGGUGGAACUUUCUCCUGCAAACCUGGAAUCUUCUGAUGUGGCCUAGGUUGGCCAGUACCUGUUGAAGCAACCUUUGCUGCCUCAGUUAAUCCCUGCCACCGUUGCAGCAGAUGGAAGCUCCUCCAGAAGGUGACUUGAGGAGACUCUGACAUUCAGGCCUAGACCCUUGAAGUGCUUGGUGGUGUGCUGAGGAAGGUUCUUGGAUCCCAAAGCAAGAAGCAAAGCCACUUGGCUUUGAAAAGAGGUGCGGAAAAGCUUAAGGAAUUAACGAGGACUACUGGGAAAUCACUCACCAGGAACUUUCAGUGCUCUGAACUCAGGAAAGAAAUGGGAAGAAAAUCCUUUAUGUGCACUUCUUUUUCUCCCAACAAGAAUAUAUCUGUCAAGAGAAACAGAUGUUCUCUAUGAAAAAUCUUCUUUAAUUACAAGUCUGUCAAAAGGAGGUUGAGCGGGAGCAAAGCCACCAGCCAAAACACUGUGACAAACCCACAACCGGCAGCUGAAAGCUCCUUACCCAGAGCUCAGGACAUCUGCACAUCACACCAAAUGUUGCAUAAUAAAAGAAGACUGUCUGAAAUCUUACACUUCCAGAAAUCUUCACGUGUCUCAAGCCUCAAAUCUGUGAAUGGUUUCAGCCCCAGGCAGGAAAUUGCCCCUUUCCUGAGCAGCUCCUGUGCCCUUCUUCAGCUCUUGUCAUCCGUGCAGCUGCACCAAUAAACUGGGAAUUUCUGGAGUUUAAUUUUCAGAUGAGCCCGCUUCAAAUCAAUGGAGCUGCUGCUUUUUGUGACUCCUGGGAAGGAGAUGGCAUGGAAACAACCCACAGUCAUGCCCAAAUAAGAAAACUAAAAGAAUUAUUGGUUUUGGUCAACCUGGAACAUGGCUCUUUUUUGCCCUGACAUUUUCCUAGAGGAAAGUGAAACUCUUCAUCUGCAGAUUCAAAAGAAUCCCAAAGGCACUCUGUCAGACAUCUCCCAACGUGCUCUCAGUUAUUGCUGGAUGGAUCACAAGCUCUCCAGGGAGCAGUGAAGAUGUUUUUGUGGGUUGCAAAACCCAGGUCAAAGCUUAAAGCUGAAAAUACUCAAUUCCAGUGUCUGCUUCUUGCUUCCAGAGGAGCUAUCUGCUCAUUGUCUUUGUCUUCAUCAUCUUCAUCUUUGUCUUUGCUUUCUGUUUGUCUUCCUUCUUUUUUUUUUUUCUCUCUCUCCUCGUCCUUUUCUUCCUUCCUCCAGCUCAUAAAUCCCCACCUCCCCUCCUUUCCUUCUCCCCUUCAUGCAUUGCAUGCUGAAUGCAGGAGGCUCUCAAAGGCAAGAGCAGGCUUGGGACACUCUUACCCACAACAGCAGCGGUGAACAGAACCCAGGUUUUCAGCCAGGAAAUUGCACUGGUAAUCUCCUUUGAGGGAGGCACUCCCAUUUUUCAUGAUGGUUGGCCCUUGUGGGAUAUGGAUGAAAAGAGAAAGCAUUUCAUUUGCUCUUUGAAAACUGGAGCUAUAGAUCAAGGCCCCGCUCGUUCCCCUGAAGACUAGAAAUGGGAUUUCUGCAAGAAUUGAGGCUAUCCUCUCUGAAAACUAAAACAGUUAUCUACACUUUCAUCGAGAGGUCAGCAGUAGAGACUUUUCUCAAACAGCUGGAUAAAUCCAGGCUGUUAGCGCCUCUCCUUCCCGCUCUCCUCUGUUAUUGCUUUUCAUUACAUGAAGGGUGAGGAACAAGCAAAUACCUCUGCUUCCCAGCUUUGCCCUUGCCUGUUUGUACAAAGCAGCCAAAUAUUUCCUUCUGACUCUCAGGCCCCAAGUACCUUUGGUGUCUAUAUUUUUUCCAUUGGAUGCCAUGGUCUGGAUGCAGAUGCCCAGGGCUGCUUAAUCCUAGCAGAUGGCAUAGAAAUGUUAUUUUUCAGACACGGGCACUCCUCCAUGGGUGCCACAGGACCAGGGCAUCCUUUGUCACCUGGACCCAGUGCAAUCUCCUGUGACACUGGGCAGGAGGGUUUGCAGAGUCACGCUGCAUCCUGCGUCCCUGAGCCUUGCAGCCAUAAAUCCUUUGCCUCUGCCAUAACCGUGAUUGAGCCUGCCUGGCUUAAUUCAUUCCUCCAGAGCCCACACGGUUAUGGCAGAGAUGAUUGCCUGCUCAAGGAGCAGCACUUGGGAUGAAAUCUUUUCCUCUUGAGAGUACUGCUGGAAAAACAAGGCAGCAUCCAUGAGCUGCCAGCAUCCCUGUGUAGGCAGUGUCUUUCCUUGGCCACUUCUUUGCCGUGCUCUCAUCCUUCCUGACCUCUCCCUUUCUCUCCUUUAAAUCAUUUUCUCUUUGCUUCAUUUCUGCCUAUGUCUCUUCCUAUUCAGUUUCCUCGCUAGGUGCUGGAGCUGACUCAAUGGUGAUCCAGCAAAUCACAGUAGUGAUGCUGCUGAUGGAAUAACUCCUUGGGGUUCUGUGCAGUUGCUGUGCGGGCACUGAGCUUCCAACAGCAGAAAAGGAGCAGGAAAGUCUGAUGUUUGGAAAGCUGCAUCAACCGCAGCUUUCAUCCCUACCUCGGGGAGAUGGGUUUUGGAGUCCUAGCAGUCUGCCCACCCUAUGGACAUAGCCAAAUAACCCUAGUUCCUUCCCAAGCACUGCUACCCAGAGAGGUGCUCUGUCCUGGCUAAGGGAGCUGAGCACAAAUAACUCACAAAUAAUGGAAAUCUCCACCAUGUGCCCCCAGCAUUGGCACAGUUCAGAGCCCUGCGAGAAGUGCACUGCCUUGUUUGUCACCUGAAGCACUUGGAAAAAUUACAUGAAUCCAUCAAAGUAAUGAAUCUUCUCAGCAGUGGCAAAUAGACAGAGACAGACAGGCACUCAGCUGAAACAAGUCAUCUUUAAAAAUUAAUACAAAAUAAACAGCUGGCCUUUCGCUCCGCUUCCAGGUGGUGGCUGCGUGGUUUGGGCAAGGGCUGGGCAGAGACCAAUGAUGGUUCCCAAUGGGAGCAUGUCCCUGGGGCAGGGAAGUGUCCUCUGCUGGGUCCCUGUCACCGCCACAGUGUCACCUCCAUCUUCUGCUGCUCCAGGAACGGUGGUGCAACACGGUGGUGGAUGCUGCACGGUGUGAGUGACUGCUUAGGAAACAGCCAAACCUUUGUGAGUGCCAAAGCCUCAUCACCUCCCUACAGCCUUGCCAGGCUCCUCCCAGCACUCUGGGCUCCCACAUCGGUUUGUCAGUGUCUGAUGGAGCUUGUACACUCCUCAGAGGACAGGUUGAGCUUGCUCUCCUGCUUGUCACAAUAUGGGCUCCAUAAAUAAUUAACAGCGGUGCUGCUGCCGCCCCCGAGCUUUGAUUUCAUUACUGAGGAAUAACAUACCCACCUAUACGUGUGUGUAUGUACAUGUCUGCGUGUAAUACACCUCCGUAUGUACUUACAUUGCUUAAACAUCUGUUUCACCAGCCAGCCUCUCUGCUUUUCCUCUGGUCCCAAGGGCAGGUAAGCAGCAGAAGGCACUGCUCUCGACCACGAGCAUCCCACCAGUGCUCCAGCUGCUCCUGCCCUGAGGCUGGGCUAUUUACGAGGUACCAAUGGGGCUGCCCUUGCCCUGCAGAGUGUGGGGACGGAGAGCGGGGAGGAAGACGGAUGGAUCCUGAAUUGAGGUGAAUUUAUGGGGCUCCGUGAUUCCUGCUGCCGUACGUCUCCAAGAAAUGACACCGCCACUUCAGGAGCAGAGAUUAAUCUGAGUCGGCAGGAGAAGGACAAAACAAAUCAUCUACUGCAGGAAUCUCAUUUGAUGCCUGUUAGUAAAAGCAGCGGGAUGAAUGGCUUUUGUAAAGACCGCGCCGAAACGGGCUUUUUUUUUUUUCCCCCUCCCUUCUCUCCAUUCGUCUGCAAAUUGAGGUCUGUGAGAUGUGCAGUGGAGGCAGUCCCAGGGUCACUCACGGCCCAAGCACAGCACAAGGACCCCCAGCAGCUUUGUGCACUGUGAGACAGGACAGCAAAAAAGGGAAGGCAGAGCUCUUAGCGCAUCGUAUCAAAGGGAAGAAUCCUUCACUUUAUUUUUUUAAAAAGAGGGCAUUAAUUCUCCUGUCCUGCAGAACACGGGGUGAGGGCAGCCUGCAGCCCCAGACAGAACAUCCCGGCGAUGCUCUGUAUCCCAGCCAGCAGCAGCUGGAUGCGGCCCAACGGCAGCAGUACCAGCACCAAGCACUCCUGCACGCCGCUGUGCAUCCCAGCUCAAUACAGAAUCAAUCCAAUUGAUCUUUUUUUUUAAGGUGCAGCCUCCGAAUGGCUGAGACUGUGAGAGACACAGCUAAGCAUGCACUUCCACAAAAUAAUUUGUCAGGCCCCGCUGUAGAAACCUAAUGAUGGCUGUAAUUUAUUGCUGACAGACGAUAUUUAUCACCGCAGCAUCCCCUCUUUCUCUUUCUCUGUCUCGUUAGGAAUGGCAUCAAUAAUGUUUAUUGUAGCUUUUAAUUUUUUAUCGCUGAUAUUCUUACCUGCGCUGCUGAUGGCUGCAGGAGAUGGGAAAGGCUUCAGAGCAGAUGGAGCCUCAGCUCUGUGCUGAAGGGUGAGCAACGAAAGCUGCAAGUUCCUCCUGCGUGCCCAUGCAGGGAGAAUGCAGUGCCAGAGAGCACCCCGAUAGCAGGGAAAAGCAAGCUGUUCCCAUAAAGCUUAUCCCCUCCCUGCUGAGCCUCUGGACUUGUGCAAGGGAUGCUCAGACCCAGCAAGGCAGUGGCAUUGCUUUGGUUUUCCCCAGACUCUACUCCCACAUGGGGCUGGAGAAGGAACAUCAUGCCUCCUCUGCUGCACCUGCAUUGCUGUGGUCAUCACACCUGAUGAUGCCCACAAGCCCUGGGGUCACAGAGCUUGUCCCUGAAAACAGCCGAAACCCCAACUCCAAUCUUGAAAUCUCCUUGUUUCCCCCUUGUUUUCCUACAGUUUUUCCUACCCUUGAGGAAAUGUGCAGCACCAGGUUUUGAUGCCCUAUAAAACAGCACUUCCCAGAGGGGAUUUUUUCCCCCUUUCCAGACAUGAAUAAUUACCCAGGCAGCGGCUGUUCCAGCGUUGUUACCGGAGCCUCUCAGACUAGCUGGUCAUUUACAGAUUAGAUAGAUGUUGCCCACGUUGUUCAUAACUGAUUAUGGGAUUGGCAGUUUGGCUCUCACCCAAAAUUCAGAGUCCUGAUUUAGCAUAAUUGGAAGUGAAUGGCAGAGCAGGCUGGGGGAUGGGGAUGGUGCCUGCUGCUGAUUUUCUAAUGCCGGCUUUGGGGAUCCCUGACAAGCUGCAGUGUGCUCUUUAUAGGGCAAUAACAUUUAUGGUGUGAGUUGUCCUGGGGAGGAACUCCUAUGAUGGCAGCAGCCACCUCCUGCCUGUCCCAGAUCAAAGCUGGAGAAAUCAAGAAUUCCAGAAGAGCAACGAGGAUGAUAUUAAAAAAUAAUCCCUUCUGUCUCAAGGUGUGGGCUUUUUUGCUUAAAGAAAUUGUUCUUCUGUGUUAAUCUAUUCUACUUUGUGUUAUCCUGUCCUUUUACUGACUUCUAUUUCUUCCUUAGUUUAUGCCACUAAAUGUUGGGUUUCCCAGUGUUGACCCUUCACACACCCGUAGCCUUCCUUGCACUUAUUCUCACAACCCCUCUCUGCUGGAGGCUCCAAGAGCACAACGCAAUCCAGCCAUUUGCCCAAAGCAAUAACAAUACCCACGGCAGGAACAACACCGAGCUCCUGCAUCCUCCCCUGCCAACACUAGCCAUGGAACAUCAAAAAUGCUGCUGGAUCUGCUUGUCUUGCUUUUAGCCACCCAUCAGCAAGUCCUGGGCAGGUGGCAGGUCUUGCUCUGCAAAAUGCAAGCAAUGGGGCUGGAGAAUUUCUGAGGGCAUUUUGGGAGGGGGUGAGGGCUCUUUUGCCCCCAGUCCCCCCCACCCCUUUCUUCUGACCGCCAUGCUUGCUCUAAUGCUCUGGCAGAGCUCUGCUUCCUGGUCCUGUGGCUUUGAGCUCAUUUGUCAAACACAGUGAUCUUCAUGAAGGGCUGUUAUUAGAGCAUUUACUUCCCAUUUCUCAUCCUAUGUUGUCAUCGCCUUCCAAGAUUAAUUAAGGGAAGAAGACAGGACAUCUUGCCUUCCAUUGGUUUCCCCCUUCCCUACCUUUUGUACAGCCCCUUCAUCUCCAUUCCUGACCUGAGCACCGCUGGGGAGCAAAUAUGCAACACUCAAUAGUUCCCUCUUCCCUCUUGUGGGUGAUAUAUCAAGGUUUUGGUUUUUUUCUUACCUCUUUGUAAGUAGAAGUGCUUUGGUGAGCCUCGUCCUGAACAUCAAUCCUCCCCAAUGGCCUCAGCUGCCAACACUAAGCCAGGAAACAUCCCAAAUCCAUUGACUUAUGGCUGCUGUAAGUGUUUGUUUCAGGCUUACCACCCCAGUCCCUGGGGCCAAUAUACUGGCCGUGCUGCCAGGCUCUCAUGAUGCUCUGCAUUUGGGUCACCCUGUGGCAAUCGCGUGCUUUUGUUCACUAUUUCUGUUGAUCAGAAACCAUGACCCACGGUUCUGAUAGAGAAGUGAUGAUGCUGGCAUGCUUCUCACUCUUGCUGGCAGCACGGAGCCUUCAGCAAGCAGCCAGGAUGCUCCCCCUGGGCAUUGCUUUGGUCCCGCCUUUACUGACGGAUGGAGGAGAUGCCUCCUCAUGCAUGUGUUAUCAGUGAUCCAGAAAAGAUUUGAGGAAAUGCGGGAUGAGCAUCUGUCAGCUGCUGUUUGCAUCCCCCAGGUACCCCACAGCCUGCCGUGCUGCGCGUUCGCAAGCCGCAUCCCUGACAUUUUGCCUCUCACAUGUGAGUCAGCCAAAAAGAGGGAGAAAACUCACCCAGAUCAGAUGGUGGCUCCCUGAUGAGAUUCCUAUGGCUGAUGGGUUCAAUGAACACCUUCAUGGAAGCUUCCCUGUGGCACCUUCCUUCCAUGCCAUGGCAUGAGAGCAACAAGAGUUGUUUCAGCUCCCUGAUACGAAGCAGGCAAGAGGAUGGGAUGAAAGCAUCCCAGCCUGUUUACCUGGCUCUCCCAGUGACUCAUCCCAAUGAACAUCUCUCCCUGACUUUGCUGGGCUCCAGAUGCUGCCUCAGUGCAAGCCUGAUCCCGUGUCUUUGUGAACCAUCACACCCUCAGCUCAUCAACCCCAAGCCACACACGGAAUAAAGACACGAAGCAGCAGGUCCUCAGCUGAUGUGCAUCAAUAUGGAUCUCCUGCAGCCGGCAAAGCUGACUUACAACCAGCCGGGGAGGUAACCCAAAAUGCUGCUCGUUGGAGCAAAAGAAAUUUCUGCAGUAAUUAGAUCUGGAGCAUGAUUACCCAAAGGGAAACAAAAAACAAAUGUGGGUGACAGAUAUUUCCAGGAUAACUGCAGUUAUUAAUGCUUUUCUCUACCAGUGACAGGCACUAGGGAUUAGUAUUGCCUGAAAAAGGCUGGUUUACUGUGGGAAAAAAUGAGGGCUGGAAAUGAAGCAAGUAGAAGGCCAUAUGCUGCUCGGUGUGCUCGGGGGGUCCUGGGAGGAUAGCUUUAGCCAAAACAACAAAGGCAAAUAUGUGAGGCAUAUGUGAGGAGAAACAUGAACCUGUUGCUUGUAAGUUACCAGUUUGAAAGAAAGGGAGAAAAAAAACACAAGAGGGAACCUGUCAUUCUCGAUUUCUCAAGCUCACCCUGAAUUAGCAACCCUGUUUGUGAGUGGUGAGGCUGAGUCUUGGGCUGCAAAUCUUCAGGUUGGUGCGAGCAUGAAGCCUUGCCUGCCCUGUGGCCUUGUGCAGAGUGAUGUGCGUGGUAGCACAAAGCAACAGCCCUGCAUCACACACCACAGGGCCUUUCCCUCUGUUUGUUGCAUGAGCUGUUGUCCUUCUCUGUAUGGGAACGGUGGAAAGGCACCUUCCCCGGGGAAAGGCUCGCAUCGUGGCCUUGCUGCACAGCUUGGACAAGCAACUGAGAGCUCAAAUAUGACCAAGAGGAUGGCUGAAAGCUUGAGAGCUGUGUGUGGGCUGCUCCAGGGUGUGGGAACGGCAUGGGCUCAGCCACCCCAGGGUUUGCUUUGGGCGUGCGCCUGUGAGCAUCUCCCUCUGCUCCACGCAUCAGUCAGCACGGCUGGCUGCCGAGAACCACAUGGGCUCCCUGAAAACCAUCAGAUCCUGCCUCGCUAAGAGGUUUGGAAGCAAGCAGGGCUAAAACAACAACAUGGGCUAGGCAUUAAAGUCAGGGUGAGGAGGGUUUUUUUUUCCUUUUGAAUGGAAGGAGUGUUGACAUCUGGGGAGUAACAAGAUUAAUUUCUAACGUGGUGGUUUGCCAAUAAGCAUAAUUUGAAGCAAAUUGUUUGUGUUCUGGUGUUUGCCCUGGCUCACAAUCCCCACAGGUGAUGCAAAGGGCCAGACCAGGCAGGAGGUCCACCCAGCUCACAGCCCCAUCUCCUCCUGCAGGUCCUGGGAGAGCACAGGAUCUUUACAGCAGGCAGCUGUGAGAGCCUGCCCACAAUGAAGCUGGAAAUCAGAUAUCAGAGACUAUCCAAAUUAUAUUGAUAGGGCAAGGGGAGAUGGUUUCAGACUACCAGAGGGGAGAUUUAGAUUGGAUACAAGGAAAAAAGCCUUGUACAAUAAGAAGACUGGUGAGGCUCUGGCUCAGGUCAUACAGGGAGGUGGUGGAUGCUCCUCCUUCUGUGGAGACAUUCAAGGUCAGGCUAGGGGGCUCUGAGCAACUGACGGAGCUGUAGGUGUCCCUGUGCAUUGCAAGGCAGUUGGACUAGAUGACACUUAAGGUCCCCUUCCAAUUUGAAUGACUCUGGGAUUCUAUGACAUGUGGCACCAUCAGUCUUGUUGGCUGGUGAAAAGCCACCUGCAUCCUCAUUUCUCUUAUGGACUGGGUAGUAGUAGCAGCUCCUCAGUGGGGUGCCUGCAUGGUUAAAGCAGAGUGAAAGCCCCUAAAUAUCUCACCAAAGAACAUCCCCUACCACUGCUGGGGAUCCAUGCCUGGAUGAUGAGGUGACAAGGAGGUGUGAGGUGCCACCAGGAGGUGGGAAUGGCCGUGUGUUAGGGCAGGAUAAGCACUGAGGAUGCAGACAAAGGAAAACAAAGUUAAAACGGGAGACAGGAAACAACCCAGUGUGCUGAGCAGGCAACAGCUGCUGCCAAACACACCUGAGCUGGGUAAUCCUUGAUAUCUGUCUUUUGGGGCAUUGCUUAACAGUAUAAUUGAACUGUAUACUUUGACUCUGCCCAUGGGCUUUCCCCCAUCACCCAUAGCAGACAGCCCCACCUGCUUCCACAUCUUACUUCUUCAGGUUGAUUGGUUUAUUCCAUCUUCUGAGAUGCGUUAUGGUGAUUUGGUUUUUAGUUUCCAAAUGAUAUCGUUGUUUAGAAAUUGUUUUGACACCAGUUGAUUUUUGCUGUUGAUGUUCUGCAUCUCCACAGUCCUGGAAAUACGACAAGACAGGAUCUCUACAAUCCCUCUCUCAUUUAGAAAACUGAUUUCCUAUUUGACCUGAAAACUGAAUAUCUUUGGCUAAAAGAUAACAUACUAUAGAAAAUGGUGGAUGCAUGCUGCUGGAACUUGAUGAUCUGGAAUUGCUCUUUUUAAACUCAAAAAAGUCCCCAACCCCAAACAAAAUACCCUACCUCCUCCACAUUUCCAUCGCCCAAAACGCUGAUGAGGAAAACUCAGACAGCUGGGAAGCAGUGCUGAGAUAGGAGCUCUUCCUAUGGGAAAGCAAGAUAUUUAUUUAAAGACAAGACUGAAUUCCAAUAGACACAAGGAAAUGUCAAAAUAUUGCACAAGCAGGAAGAGGAACGCACACAAUUGUCUCUGCAGCCUGCGCAUAAUGAAUAACUUAGCACCUGGGCAAUGCAGAAGUUAUAACAAAGCAAGUCAAAGGAAGGCAAUGCUGUUGGAAGGGGGGAAUGGCACUUUGAUCCUUGGCCCAAGAUAGUGUAAACAGACUGUUGUUUAGGCAGGUAGAGAAGAAAAAUGUUACAGGAGGAGGAACAGGAAGCACCGGGCAGCCCAGUGCAUCCACCUGAGAGUGGUCAGCUGGAAGCAAACACCAUGCCUGCAGAGCUGUAAGAGGCUG